GGAGUAUAGCUCAGUGGUAGAGCAUGUGCUUAGCAUUCACGAGGUCCUAGGUUCAAUCCCCAGUACCUCCA
rnacentral:tRNA from 1 species